GAUGAACGCUAGCUACAGGCUUAACACAUGCAAGUCGAGGGGUAACGAGAGGAAAGCUUGCUUUCCUUGUCGACGACCGGCGCACGGGUGAGUAACGCGUAUCCAACCUGCCCCCAACUAGGGAAUAACCUUGCGAAACUAAGACUAAUAACCUAUAAUUUCCUCAGAUGUCAUCUGACGAGGAAUAAAGAUUUAUCGGUUGUGGAUGGGGAUGCGUCUGAUUAGCUUGUUGGCGGGGUAACGGCCCACCAAGGCAACGAUCAGUAGGGGUUCUGAGAGGAAGGUCCCCCACAUUGGAACUGAGACACGGUCCAAACUCCUACGGGAGGCAGCAGUGAGGAAUAUUGGUCAAUGGGCGGAAGCCCGAACCAGCCAAGUAGCGUGCAGGAUGACGGCCCUAUGGGUUGUAAACUGCUUUUAUACAGGAAUAAAGUUAGCCACGUGUGGUUAUUUGUAGGUACUGUAUGAAUAAGGACCGGCUAAUUCCGUGCCAGCCGCCGCAGUAA
rnacentral:rRNA from 1 species